GGCGGCGGAAUUUGGCGGCGGCGGCUGGAGGUGGCGGAGGCGGUUUUGGAGGAGGAUACGGGAAGUAGUGGACAUCACACCUGUUGUGUUUCAUUAUUUACUUUUGUUACGUCGAUUAAUUAAUUUUGUUUUUUUUCUAAUAAAUAAAUACUAAGAUGUGA